rnacentral:rRNA from 1 species
AUUGAACGCUGGCGGCAGGCCUAACACAUGCAAGUCGAGCGGAUGACGGGAGCUUGCUCCUUGAUUCAGCGGCGGACGGGUGAGUAAUGCCUAGGAAUCUGCCUGGUAGUGGGGGACAACGUUUCGAAAGGAACGCUAAUACCGCAUACGUCCUACGGGAGAAAGCAGGGGACCUUCGGGCCUUGCGCUAUCAGAUGAGCCUAGGUCGGAUUAGCUAGUAGGUGAGGUAAUGGCUCACCUAGGCAACGAUCCGUAACUGGUCUGAGAGGAUGAUCAGUCACACUGGAACUGAGACACGGUCCAGACUCCUACGGGAGGCAGCAGUGGGGAAUAUUGGACAAUGGGCGAAAGCCUGAUCCAGCCAUGCCGCGUGUGUGAAGAAGGUCUUCGGAUUGUAAAGCACUUUAAGUUGGGAGGAAGGGCAGUAAGCUAAUACCUUGCUGCUUUGACGUUACCGACAGAAUAAGCACCGGCUAACUCUGUGCCAGCAGCCGCCGUAACAC